rnacentral:lncRNA from 1 species
UGGUGCUGUAGUGGAUAUUUUUUCAUGUAAUUUGUAAUAUAAUUAUGUUUUUGGUAUUUUCUUUAAAUUAAAUUUAAUUGUUAAUAAUAGUAUGUAUUAUUGUAUCAUAUAAUUUUGUAAACUUGUGAUUUGUAAAUUGAUUCAUUGUAAAUGUUUUGAGGAAAGUCAUUUGUUUUGGUGUGAGGUUUGAGGUGGGAGAAAGGAGUGGGGGGGGGGGUGUUUAAUUCUCCUGUAAUUGGAAGUUUUUUUAAUGUUAAUCAUUUAAAUUAUUAUGGCUUUAAAGUAAAUUUUUUGUGAUGUAUAUAUUAAUGACAUAGAAUGUAAAAAUUAAUUUAUAUGUUUGGGUCAUGUUAAUGUGAUAAGUUUUAUUUUUGUUUUACGUGUAAUGUAUGGGUUUC